rnacentral:rRNA from 1 species
CUGGGCUUGACAUGUGACUGCACGCCCCGGGAAACCGGGGAAGCCUUCGAGGGUGUCACACAGGUGCUGCAUGGCUGUCGCCAGCUCGUGCCGUGAGGUGUUAGGUUAAGUCCUGCAACGAGCGCAACCCUUGUGAUUAGUUGCUACGUUCGGUGAUGAAUCGGACAGCACUCUAAUCAGACUGCCUGUGAAAAGCAGGAGGAAGGUGGGGAUGACGUCAAGUCAGUAUGGUCCUUAUGUCCAGGGCUGCACACGUGCUACAAUGAACGGUACAGAAGGAUGCAAGACCGCGAGGUGGAGCAAAUCCCCAAAACCGUUCUCAGUUCAGAUUGAAGUCUGCAACUCGACUUCAUGAAGCCGGAAUCGCUAGUAAUGGCGCAUCAGCUACGGCGCCGUGAAUACGUUCC